rnacentral:rRNA from 1 species
UACGUAGGUGGCAAGCGUUGUCCGGAUUUAUUGGGUUUAAAGGGUGCGUAGGCGGCAUUUUAAGUCAGUGGUGAAAUACUUCAGCUUAACUGGAGAGGUGCCAUUGAUACUGGGAUGCUUGAGUACUGAUGAGGUAGGCGGAAUGGACGGUGUAGCGGUGAAAUGCUUAGAUAUCGUCCAGAACACCGAUAGCGAAGGCAGCUUACUAAGGAGUAACUGACGCUGAUGCACGAAAGUGUGGGGAUCAAACAGG